AGUAUGCUGCUGCAGUUGCAGACUGACACUGGCCGCUCCGGUGGAGAUAUCAGUGCAGGGAGCAGUCCUCACCCCUCCACCCCAGAUGAGGAUGACAGCCAGACUGAAUUGCUGAUUGCUGAGGAGAAACUUAGUCCUGAAGAUGAUGGACAAGUUAUGCCAAGGUACGAGGAGCUGUCUGAGAGUGUGGAGGACUAUGUUCUAGAUGUCCUGAAGGACCAGUUGAACCGCAGGCAGCCCAUGGACAAUGUGUCCCGUAACCUGCUGCGUCUGCUCACUGCCACCUGUGGCUACAAGGAGGUGCGGCUUAUGGCUGUGCAGAGGCUAGAGAUGUGGCUGCAGAAUCCAA